rnacentral:rRNA from 1 species
AUACCAGUUGAUCCUGCUGGAGGGUACUGCUUUCGGACUUCGAUUAAGCCAUGCAAGUUUUUGUCAAGGCAUCUUGACAAAGCGGACGGCUCAGUAACACGUAGUCAACCUACCCUAGGGACGGGGAUAACCUCGGGAAACUGAGGGGAAUACCCGAUAGGUUAGAAUGCCUGGAAUGGCGUCUAGCCCAAACGAACCGUUAAUUGGAGCGGGAUACGCCCUAGGAUGGGACUGCGGCUGAUUAGGCUGUUGGUGAGGUAAUGGCUCACCAAACCAUUGAUCAGUAGGGGCUAUGCGAGUAGGAGCCCCGAGACGGGCACUGAGACAAGGGCCCGAGCCCUACGGGGUGCAGCAGGCGCGAAACUUCCGCAAUGCGCGAAAGCGUGACGGGGGGAGUCCGAGUGCCAUCCUAACGGAUGGCUUUUCGUGAGACCAAAUCUCUCACGGAAUAAGUGGUGGGUAAAUCUCGUGCCAGCCGCCGCGGUAAUACGAGUAGCACAAGUGGUACCCACGAAUAUUGAGCUUAAAGCGUUCGUAGCCGGCCAAGCCAGUUUCCUGUGAAAUCUGCGGGCUUAACCCGUAGGCGUGCAGGAAAUACUACUUGGCUAGGGAACGGGGGAGGUCAGGAGUACUCUAGGGGGAGCGGUAAAAUGCUGUAAUCCUUGGAGGACUAACGAUGGCGAAGGCACCUGACUAAAACGUGUCCGACGGUGAGGGACGAAGGCUAGGGGAGCGAACGGGAUUAGAUACCCCGGUAGUCCUAGCAGUAAAUCAUGCAGAUUUGGCGUUGCAUUCACCACGAGUGGGUGCAGUGCCGUAGGGAAACCGUUUAAUCUGCCGCUUGGGGAGUACGAUCGCAAGAUUGAAACUUAAAGGAAUUGGCGGGGGAGCACCACAAGGGGUGGAUGCUGCGGUUCAAUCGGACUCAACGCCGAGAAACUCACCAAGAGAGACGGCAGUAUGAAGCCCAGGCUAAAGACCUUGGCCGACGAGCCGAGAGGUGUUGCAUGGCCAGCGUCAGUUCGUGCCGUGAGGUGUCAGGUUAAGUCCUGCAACGAACGAGAUCUCCGUCAACAGUUGCUAGUUGCCCCUACGGGGGCGGCGCACUCUGUUGAUACUGCCUGCGUUAAGUGGGAGGAAGGAGGAGGCGACGCUAGGUCUGUAUGGCCCGAAUCUCUUGGGCCACACGUGGCAUACAAAGGCGCGGACAAUGGGUUCCGACACCGAAAGGUGAAGGCAAUCUCCUAAACCGCGUCCCAGUCCAGAUUGGGGGCUGAAACUCGUCCCCAUGAAGUUGGAAUCCCUAGUAAUCGCGUGUCAUCAUCGCGCGGUGAAUAUGUCCCCGCUCCUUGCACACACCGCCCGUCAAGCCAUUCAAGCGGGUUCCUAGCGAGGCCCCGACCAUCCGGUCGGGUUCGAACUAGGGGUCUGUGAGAGGGGUUAAGUCGUAACAAGGUAACCGUAGGGGAACCUGCGGUUAGAUCACCUCCAAA